UCCAUGAUAUAUACAUUGGCAAAUUGCAGAAUCUCAUUUCUACCUUUAUGUUUUUACAGUUUGUCCUCAUCAUUCUUCCUAUGCUUCUGCUCUAUCUUAUCGAAUAAACAUAGAGAUAUCUAGUGGGACGCCCAACAAGACGAGAGAUAUGGGGUCGUGCCUUUUUGUUUUGAUCACAUUCUGUUCCUUUUGUUUCAGCUUAUCAAAACUAUCUGUGUUUUCCUCGUAAACACAAAUACUAGAAUACAGCUGAAACUGCAUCAUCAAUACAUGGAGGGCUGAGGUGGGAUAAGAUUAAACGGUCGGGAGAAGGACACAUGCCCUAGUUUUAUGAGUUUAUGACCAAAAAGGCUAAUGGAGCUUUAAAAGAUGCAUAUGGUUACAUAACGACACAUGUCAAGUUGAAUCAAGGAAGAUUGAAGUUUUAACACAAAGACACGUAUCGAAUGUCAAAAAUGAUUAAGAAAAAAGCAGACUUUUGCCUUAAUUUAUGCUGAUUGCUGAGAUGAGUGACGGACUUGAAGUAGAAAGGCCGGUCAAGGAACAUUGAAAUGUGAAAUUAGCUUUUUCCUGUUACAACAAAGUAACAAAUAAAUAAUAUAUUCUCAGAGAAAUUUGUAUUCUCUGAUCUCCAA